rnacentral:rRNA from 1 species
UACGGGGGGGAGCAAGCGUUGUUCGGAUUUACUGGGCGUAAAGGGCGCGUAGGCGGUCAGCACAAGUCAGUUGUGAAAUCUCCGGGCUUAACUCGGAAAGGUCAACUGAUACUGUGCGACUAGAGUGCAGAAGGGGCAACUGGAAUUCUCGGUGUAGCGGUGAAAUGCGUAGAUAUCGAGAGGAACACCUGCGGCGAAGGCGGGUUGCUGGGCUGACACUGACGCUGAUGCGCGAAAGCCAGGGGAGCGAACGGGG